rnacentral:rRNA from 1 species
GACGAACGCUGGCGGCGUGCCUAAAACAUGCAAGUCGAACGGGGUCUUCGGACCCAGUGGCGAACGGCGGAGUAAUACAUAAGCAACGUGCCCUGAAGACUGGGAUAUACGAUGGAAACGUCGGGCAAUACCAGAUGUGGUUGGGAGGAGUCAUCUUCAUCCAAUUAAACGGAUUUAUUCGCUUCGGGAGCGGCUUGUGGCCUAUCAGCUAGUUGGUGAGGUAAAGGCUCACCAAGGCGACGACGGGUAGGGGUCUGAGAGGAUGAUCCCCUCGAGUGGGACUGAGACACGGCCCACACACCUACGGGUGGCAGCAGUUGGGAAUCUUGCACAAUGGGGGAAACCCUGAUGCAGCGACGCCGCGUGGAGGAUGAAGGAUUUCGGGUCUGUAAACUCCUUUACAGGUAAAGACUUAGGACGGUACCCUGUGAAUAAGCUCCGGCUAACUACGUGCCAGCAGCCGCGGU